GCACUGCCGAGGAGUCCCUCACCAGGACGAAACGGCCGUCCAGUGC
rnacentral:hammerhead_ribozyme from 1 species